AUCCAGCUGACGAGUCCAAAAUAGAAUGAAACACGCGUUCUGAAU
rnacentral:hammerhead_ribozyme from 1 species